UAAAACAAUUUAAAAGGAGCGGUGGCGUUGGCAACUUUGCAUUGGCACCUGGCAACAUUAAAUUCUCUAAACGUCUUUAAAAAUAAAUCGAAUCACACUCGCGCCUUCGAUUUUUAACUUUAUAAUCAAAUAGAAUAAACAAAGUGCUAUAUUUAAUAAUAACAAAUCAACGAAAAUGUUAACUUAAUUAAUCAGGUAUGCAAGCUAUUAUAGUAUCCAUCCACCAUCAUAAUUAAUAAGUUUCCAGAAUGAGUAAUGAUUAUCUUCGGCUGGUCGACUAUGGUGCUUUAUUCACAUUCCUGAUAUUCAUAUCCCUAUCAAUUGGUUGCUGUACAUGGUGUUACUGUAUUAGAGCCCAUGACAAAGCAAUGCAGCAUUAUGUGACAAACUUAGCAAAGCAGAAAGGGCUUCAAGUGGAACCAUACACAAUACAUACCGAGCCUUGUUGCCGAUCACCUCAUGCUAACGAGAACUGCUCGAUUUUUGUGCCAGAUGUAGGUGUUAUACUAUAAUUUCUUUUAUACUAUACCUUUUAUAUAUUACAGUGGAAUUAAUAUCUCGAAUUUUGGGGGAAAUGCAAUUUUUAACUUAUUGAGUCUUUAACUUAAGAUGUUCAAGAUGAAAGUUGUUUGAAGGGGAAUCCAUUGUUAAAUGGCAUUAAAUAGUAACGUCAACUAUUGCCUUAUAAAUACGAUUAAUCAACUCGAGUAGAUUGAAUAAGUACUAAAAUGCCUACACAGCCAAAUGAAAUUUUAUUCAAUUUAUAAAGUCUAAUUAAUUCGAGAUAUUAAGUAAUCGAGGGUUUAGACAAAGGAAAUGGUCUAUUUUUUGGACUUUCUAGGGAUUUAAAUUUAACAUAACUCGAGUAAUAGAGAUUCUACUGUAUAUGUUGAAAUAUUCAGCCAUGACCACAACAACAGCAAUAAAAUUGUGAUUAACUAUACCUUAAACUAAAUGAUAUUUACAGUUUGUCCAUAAAAUUAUGAUCUCAUGUCUACAAUUUUUUUUUGUUUUUCAAUUGUUAAUAUUUGUUUUGCAACAAGCUUUUUGUUUAAGUGAAUUUUGGAUUCAUAAAACAUCCUGUAGUUAAAGCGGUUUGGUAGAUGAACCGAUGUGUAAUUUUCUUUACAAGAUGACCAUCAGUCAAGUU